CCUACGGGUGGCAGCAGUGGGGACUAUUGCACAAUGGGGGAAACCCUGAUGCAGCGACGUAGCGUGAGUGAAGAAGGAAUUCGUUAUGUAAAGCUCUAUCAGCAGGGAAGAAAAUGACGGUACUUGAGGAGGUAGCACCGGCUAACUUCGUGCCAGCAGCCGCGGUAAUACGUAGGGGGCUAGCGUUAUCCGGAUUUACUGGGCGUAAAGGGUGCGUAGGUGGUUUCUUAAGUCAGAGGUGAAAGGCUACGGCUAAACCGUAGUAAGCCUUUGAAACUGGGAAACUUGAGUGCAUGAGAGGAGAGUGGAAUUCCUAGUGUAGCGGUGAAAUGCGUAGAUAUUAGGAGGAACACCAGUUGCGAAGGCGGCUCUCUGGACUGUAACUGACACUGAGGCACGAAAGCGUGGGGAGCAAACAGGAUUAGAUACCCGGGUAGUC
rnacentral:rRNA from 1 species